GACAGAGGGUGCAAACGUUGUUCGGAAUUACUGGGCGUAAAGCGCGUGUAGGCGGCGAGGCAAGUCGGAUGUGAAAGCCCUGGGCUUAACCUAGGAAGUGCAUUCGAAACUGCCUGGCUUGAGUUCUGGAGAGGAAGGCGGAAUUCUCGGUGUAGAGGUGAAAUUCGUAGAUAUCGAGAGGAACACCAGCGGCGAAGGCGGCACUCUGGGCUGGAACUGACGCUGAGGAGCGAAAGCGUGGGUAGCAAACAGG
rnacentral:rRNA from 1 species